rnacentral:lncRNA from 1 species
ACGGUUGUAGAGCUUGCAACCUUCCCUGAGUGGCUUCUUGCAAGUGUGGCAAGAGUUGAAGUCGAGCGCAACACUUUUUGGACCUGGGCAGACAUAGGAAGCAAACCCACAUUCGAGCGUGCAGGCUUUACCAGGUCCUGAGACGCAUACUGAUUUGCCAUGCCCCAAGUCCAUGCAACCUUGAGGAAUGGUGCAACAAGUAGCGCAGCUGCCUGGCUUCCAAGGAUGGACAGUGCCUCCACAAAUCUCCACGGCAUCCUUCAAGCAGGAGUUGUCAUCACCAUUUGGCAGUGGUGCACCAGUCUUUAAAUUGUAGAGAUGACAGCCAUUCGAAGGCUCCUUAUCCGGUGGGAGCACAGAAAUUGGAAUUCGGUUAGUUCCUCGGGAUGGGCAGACUUUGAUUUUUGGUGGAUGACAAAUUAAGGGGCAAGGACGAAAAGGGGAGGUGCCACCAAGACAAACUGGACUGCCAGUUCCAGGCUCGAGAUAUAUGCAUCCAGCCUCAAGCGCACAGCAACUGGAGCAUCCGUCGAGAGUGACAACAGCAUCACUACAAACCUGGAGACGAUGGCUGCUGGCUGCAAAAUCAUCUUGACAAGGCAUUCAAGAAGUCAGUCCUGAAAGAAAGAAUCAAAACUUGGAGAUCAACCUGCAGAUAUCAGAAGUAGCUGAAAGCUUAGGAUAGUGAGGAACAAGAAUGAAGCUGCCAUGUUGUUGUGGUGCUGAACCUCGGGCUGUUUGGAUUUAUAGUCAGACAGAGUCUUAUCUAUGUGAUGACUUGGCAUCUGAUCGAUCUCUACAAAAUCUCACGUUUUUUCCGGACUUGAAAGUUGCGUAUGGAUUGUACUGAUCGGGGGCCACCUAGCCUGACUCUCUGUGGUGAAACAACUCAUAUACUUCCAGAGAAGUGUCCCAUCAGUAUUUUGAUUAGGGCGACGUGGCCGGAAUGAAUUUCCACGUUGGUUAGCGGCAUGCCACGUCAUAAUAGACGAAGCGGCCAUGGCAGGGCUGCUUGGCCAUGGCGCUUCUUUCAACGUGGCCAGGCUGGGAGCACUAGGGUAGCAGCUCACAGCGCUGCCACAGUAAUGUGCUAUCCGAUCGAUCGAUCUUGGUCUCGGGUUUAGCUUCUAGAGGUUUCCGGCUUCGCCACAGCUAGUGGUUUCUUCCUCCGGCCUAUGGCACCGCUAGAAAAUCCUCCAAACCGACUCAGCCCUUGAAGAACAGAUCGAGAUUUAGGAGGAACAAGAGAUUGCACGAAAGGUCUUGCGUUGGGAGCUCGACCGGUGCCUAGCUGCUCUAUGGAAGAUUUGCCGUUCAAACGGAGAGUGCUCAUGAGAUUGAGCUCCAUCUAUAAAUUCAAUCCUUUAUGAGAUAUGAGUGCCACGUCUGCAUUUGACAAGGUGAUGCCGCGAUUCAAAUUUCUGGCGCUUGGAUGCCCGGUGCCUCAGCAUGGGUAAUACCAUAUGUAUUGAAAUAUCACAUAUUGAAUGAUUUUGGAACAGCUUAUGCACAACAAGGGAACUCUUUUGAUUAUAUAUACACAUUUGUGGGCUCAGCUGGAGGCAUUUACAAUAUACAAAUUGAUUUCCUUGUCCUAAUUUUAAUCUUGGAUUCCCCUUCUUUUGCCAAUGUCAAAAUUACUUUUGCCUGUUGAACUUUACUAGACCAAAGACAAGAAAUCCAUUUGCAUCCAUUGCAUUGUGGUUUAAUGCAUUUAGUUGUUGGGUGUUACAUGUAUACUUAUUCUUUCAAAGCCUAGAAAAAAAAAAUCAUUUGCUAUAAUCAUACUCCUUUACCUUUUUCUAGAAUAUAAUCUAAACCUUAAACCCUAAACCCGUGGCAAAAUUGAAGGCAACAGGUCUUGUGUGACUUUAAGAAUUGCAUGCAGUAACAACUGGAUCAAUCAAGUGGUUGAGAUCAAAAUCUUCAAAUUCUAUAAUAAGCCAAAACAUGAGACUCAUGAGGUAUUGGCUUGUAGUAUUUAUUUCCAAAGGCAAUUACUGAAGCCUGGUGAUUCAAGGCAAAAAAUUGAUGCCCUUUUGGCCCUUUUUGAGCCAUUUUACAUGGGUGUUUUUAAAAAUGCCCUUUAAAUAUUAGGUAAAAAUUACCAAAAUUUCUUUUACGUGAAGGAUGCGCUUCUAUAUAGCCCUUUUGUUCAAGGGCAAUAAAAUAAAAUAUUCUUUCAGAAUAUUUUUCUCUUUCUUAAUGGACAAUGAAUAUUCCGAAUUAAAUGAGCAAGGAGUCUCGAUGACUCUCUCAAUUGAUUAGAAUUUGGAUCGCAUGCCAUAGUUGUCUUGUUUAAGUUUUACACAGAAGAAAUUGAAAGGGCAACAAGAGUCAUCAUUCAGUUCUCAUACUGUACAUUCAAUCUUUUCUAUUUCCAUGCAUUUACUUGUAGAUCUUAGGAAAAAAGUACAUCCUUUCUUCCCUUUCUAGGCCCCCAUUGCCACAGCUCGCCAUGAUUGUCCAGAUCUGCGGUAGAAUCCAGUGCGGGAUUGAUUGCUCAGGCUCUUUAGCCCGGGAUUUCUUCGACUGGAUGGCUUCACCUCUCGCAAUACCAUUGAUGCAUGAGUGCGUGGAAGCAAAUGUUCCAGCGGUGCUGUUGGCAUGAUCGUCGUAUUGGAGGGCUUGGUUCUCAUCCACCAGCUGAGAAUCUGGGCAGGCAGGGCAGAUCGAGCUCCCACAGCUCCAGAAAAUUGGUAAGAUAUCUUCUAACUUAUCAAUCGACGUGCAAAACUCAUGAAGCUCCUCUUGCAGGAAGGAACAAGCCGAGCUUCCACUAUCUCGCCGCCGAAUCGACAGCCAACUGCGACUAGUUCUAGCGGAGGAAAGCCUUGGUACGUUCUUCUUUUAAACUGGGAACUGACAAAGUUUCUAUCCAGUUCUUAGUUCCAGACGCUAGACUUCGAUGCAAUGAAAGAGAGAAGAGAGAAUCUGGACAGUCUUAAGCCCAAGAUCGUUGACAUGGUUGUCAAGAAGAUGAAGCAUAACACAUAUCUCUCGCUCGAUUUCUUUACGCUGGCCAUGAGAAUCUCCAGCUUCCGGCACGACGUGGUGAUGGUCAUGAUCCUUGGAGUCGAUGGCAACUAUCUUGGUGAUCACAGACAUGCCCCGUGGAAACGAUCUCUAUGUGAAGACGAGGAAGCUGUGGCCGCCACAUCGUCCGAGACAGCAGAAAGACCCCCAAGUAGGCUUGGAUAGAUUCAGCAUGGUAGCAGUCCAACACCAGCUCGGGAGGAAGACUUAAACAGCCUACAAGAAGGAAAGCAACUCCGUGGAUCUGAUCAUGAGUCUUUUAUAGGCAACAACACGAGCAAUGCGUGAAGGGGGCCAGAGAAGCUAUUGAGAAGUACUCAUUAGGUGCUGGUCGACCUCAAGUUCUUACUAAGCCAGGAGUUGGAUGCUCUCCAUGAGACUCGUGACCACGUACUGAGUCGCUUACUUGAAAUGGAUGGCGGGAUGCAGAAUCCGAAUCCCGAUUAUGUGCAGCGCGCUGGACAAUGUUCCCAGUGCCAGCCUAGACACACUGGGAUAACCUGUGCUCAUUGUGCUAUUGAUCUCAUGUUUCAGGUACAAUCUACUUCUUUCUUGUGUGGAUAAACAGAAAUAUGCAAAUAGGCGAUUUUACUUGACGUCCCGAGCAGCUGAAUUAGAUGGCAUUGUUACUGCAGAAGACGCCUUUGUUUCUCAAGUACGUUCACAGGCAGGAGAAAAGGAGCAGCAGUAGCUGCGGUAAGGCAACUUCUUUUUGUUUUUCUAACUUUUUUCUUUUGUUUUUCUUUCCUUCGAGCUUAAAUAUUUCUUUUCACAGGUUACGCACAGAUGUUCUGAAACGGAAAUGGUUUUAAAAAUUUUACUUGCAUACAUGAAAGCGGAAACGAACCUUGAGGAGGAUGAGAUAGAAGCCGCAAAGAAGCACCUCGAGUACCUUGAAGUAAACACUCCUGUGCUUAUUUGUAAGUCUGUUUGACAAACCGUGUCAAUUCAGGCAUUGCGUAGCGAAUAUGCAGCGGCGAGACGCUUGACAACAGCACAACAAUUAGUUCUAACUGCAUUGGACGAGCUGAGCAUGUCGACAACAAGGCUAUGUUUGCUUGCAAGGUGCCAAGGCUGCAGACGGCAAUCCUUUUGGUGAUGAAGGCUACGAGAUAGCAAUUAGAAACGCGGCGCUUACCAACGAAAAAUUUGUUGCUGUUGAGAAUCUAUCUCGUGUGAAGAGGCAGCUCAGAUACUUGAAGGUAUUAGGCUUAAGUUUUCUUCUAUUCGCAGCUCCUCUCAUUUCCGGAUUGCAGGGUCUAAGGAAUAAGAAGGACGAGGGGCAUAACAGUUUGGAAGGAGAAAUUUGCCCAGUUUGCCACGAUGGCAUAGAAUCUGGAGCAAUGGUCCUUCCGUGCGGCCAUUUGCUUUGUGGCAAGUGUAAGUUUUUGGUGUCUUACUUUGUUGGUUUCCUGAGCAAAUCUUCAUUUUACUUCGCAGGUUUGAAUCUUAUUGUGGACCGCCAGAAAGCACCAGCUAACGGUGCUGAUUUCAAGCGCAUUGCAUGUCCAACGUGCAGACAACAGACUUAUGUCUCUAAUAUAUGCUGAAGCGGCUUCUUCGAAAAUUGCUGAAAUCCUCCAGGAAGAAGAAGAGGACGAAGAAAAAUCUAUAACCGUGGCAGGGUCGUACGGAACAAAGGUAAUCUCGCUUUGUCGUCUGCUUUUUAUUUUAAUUCUUUUGCAAGUUUGAAGAUUGAAGCUGUCGUCAGAAGAAUUCUUAGUCUGAAAGAAGACGAUCCGUUUGUGACAAUUCUUGUGUUCUCGACGUGGCAAGAAGUGCUGGACUUGUUAGAACACGCACUGAAGAGCAACAAGCUCAGCUGGGUUCGAUUAAAGCAGCGCAGGUAACAUCGAUAAUCUGUUUUACUUUUACUCAUGUGCUCGUUUUGUGUUUUUCACAGACAAAUGGGUUCUUCCAUCUUGGAAUUUAAGAAGGAGAACAUCCAAGUCAUGUUACUGCCCACACAACAUGGUGCCAAUGGCCUGAACUUAAUAGAGGCCCAACACGUUAUUUUGGUGGAGCCUUUGCUCAAUCCGGCAGUAGAAGCUCAGGCUAUCAAUCGAGUCCACCGGAUUGGCCAACGUCUAAAGACACUUGUACAUAGAUUCAUUGUAAGUUACGUACGUUUCUUCUGUUUUCCAAUUACUGACGACAUUUCCAGAUACGUAACACUGUGGAGGAGAACAUCUACAAAAUGAGCCAGCAGAAGACGAACCUCCUUCCAAUGAAACAAAAAGAGCAGCCUCUUUCAGCAAAUGACAUGAACAGCUUACUAGCUUGGGACGAACUGAAAGAGAACACAUCUACUUCAAACACCCCCAGUGGUUCUACUCCUGAUACUUUCCGAGAUUUAACUCCGGCUCAAGCUGCUGCUGCUGCUGCUGAAUCGCGGCUCUUGUGACUACAGGCCAACGCUUGCCUAUAGAUUCCUUGUAAGUACUUUCUCUUGCAUGUCCGGAUUCUGAACCUUUGUAUUUUCUAGCAGAGAAGGAACAUUCUUUAAUCGAAAGAUGAGCUUUCGGUAAGUUUUUCUUUUGGCGAGGGGUUUAGCUAGCUAGCAACAGAGAUGGGUGCCAAGUUUCAGCCCCUUCCUCGCUUCUACUGGACGAAGGAACAGAUUGCUGCGAUCAGAGACCUGUGCCGUGACGACGAUCUCUACGUGAAGACGAAGUAUGGUAGGAAACUGAGGCCGCCGCCUCGUCCGCGACUAAGUCGAGAGCAGGAACGCUUUGUUCGCGCAGACCCUCAAGCAGGCUUGGAUAGAAUCAGUGGGCAGUGGGUAGCACUCCAACACCAGCUCGGGAAGAAGCCUUACACAGCCGAGGAGCAGGAAGGCAACUACGUGGGUCCGAUUCUGGGUCACAAGCAAUACAGGUGCGAGCUCCAUCUUCACAGGGGACAGAAGCAGUGGAAUGUCCAUGCAGUCGGGGACAAGUUUCUGGUCUACGAGACACUUCCUCCCGCGACCGACACCGGUGAUGAUCCUCCGGUGCUUUGUGGUCGCGACAAGUUCGUCAUUGGUCGCCCUCUGUCAGUAACAAUGGACAACCGGGCGACAAAUGUUUCCUCGUCAUGGAACUCGUUUCCAGUGUGGAGCUUGCCAGAAGAAGGCAAAGAGGGAACGAUCGGGAACUAUAUGGUGCCGAGCAGUAAGGUGGCGCUGCCGGGUUUAGUUCCAGGCAAAGGAGCGCUAGUCUUCGAUGCCUUGUACGAGACUGUGAAGGAAGGAGGAGCGAGCUGGAGCUCCGAGAUGGUUGAGAAGCUGGACAGGCUCAAGCGUGGGAUAACGCACCCCCACCAGGUCUGCGUGGUUCUCAAGAAGAUCAAGCACGACGCAUCUCUCUCGCUCAAGCUCUUUACGUGGGCCAAUACGAUCCCAGGCUUCAAGCACGACUUGGUAAACUACUCGACGAUGAUCAUGAUCUUGGGAGAUGACGGGAACUAUCUCAUGGCCGAGGCGCUUUUUGUUGAGAUACAGGAGCUCGGGCUUCGCCUUGACACGUUUGCAGUGAACAACAUGAUCCGCUGCUACACAAGAGUGAACCGGAUCCAGGAAGCUCUCGACCUCUACAGGAAGAUGCCAUACUUUGGCUGUCACCCGGACAAUUGCACCUUCGGCCUCCUCAUCGACUGGUGCGGCAAGUUCGGCUCCCGGAAGGAGCUCCAACGGAUCUUCCUCGACUUGAGAGCCUCCCCCCACAAUGCCGACGCGCAGACGUUCAACACAAUGAUCCACAACUUCUGCAAGCAGCGGGACUUCGCAAACGCCAGGGAAGCUGCCAACCAGAUGAAAGCCUGGGGGAUUCCAUUCUCCUCUGCAACGUACGCCAUCCUCAUCCACAUGUACGCCAAGGCUCGAGACUCGAAAGCAGCGGCAGAGCUCUACGCGGACUACCUCCGCUCCGGCCUAGAGCCAAACUUGAUCGUCUACAACAACGUGAUACUGAGUUACGGUUCCAGCGGCUUCCCUGGCCAUGCGCAGAACAUCCUGGGUGAUAUACGAAAGGCCGGCCUCGCUCCAGAUCGAUUCACGUACUGCACGCUCAUAAGUUCGUGGGCGAGAGCCGGAGCUAUGCUGCAAGCCCGGCGAUGGUUCAACAAAGCCUGCAAGACGAAGGCCGGUCCAAGCAUCGAGAUGUGCAACGCGCUCAUCGAUGGCUACCUCAAGGCCCGAGAAGUGGAACCGGCUAAGUUCAUCCUCACCAAAGUCAUGCCGGAGAGAGGCAUGGAGCCGACGCUGCAAACGUACACGAUCCUCCUGGGCCACUACACGAGCAGCGUCAAGGUGGCGGACUCGAGAGCAGUGAGAGAGAUGAUGAAGUCGUCCUCGAAACCAGCAGCAGCAGCAGCAGGAGGAGGAGGAGGAGGAGGAGAUGAUCAUCCCGGCGUGGACGAGUUCCUGAACGAGAUCCUGCAAGGCCUCCGCGCGAUCAAGGAGCUCAAGAGCUACUCGAGGGAGUUUUUCCGCAAGCUGAGGAUGGACAAGCCUCCUCGCUGGGGGCGAUGGCUGGCGGAUGCUCUCGUCAACCAUCUCCACUGCUUUGGCUACGCUCGCGAGGCCUUCUACGUGUGGGAGGGUGUCUCCUCCACAGAGCUCUACCCGAGAGGGAUCUGGGAGGACUGGCAGGGAGCGUGGUUUAUCUGGCUCCAGGAUAUGAGCUCCGGGACUGCGAUGGUGGCGCUCACCAGUGGAUUGAUCGUGUCCAGGCGGAAGCUCGCGCGGGGAUUCGAUAGGCCGGAGCGAGUGAUCAUCGUGUGUGGCUAAGAGCAAGGAGGUGACCCAUGCGGUGAACAGGACGCUGGUGGCUCUAGACUCGCCGUUUGAGCCUUUCAUCUCUAUGGGGAGAUUUAUGUGCGAGGGGAACUUGUUUAGAGACUGGCUGUGGGAGAAGCAAGUUGCUAUAGAGCUCACCAUGGAUGCUUAUAUGUAAUUAGCGCAUUAGUGGGAUGGUAAAAAGGACCAAGAUUCGUUGGAUCUAGCCUUUUGCUUUGCUUUAUUUUUUCUUAAGUUCAGGUAUUUAGGAUUUUUCUUAGGCUGCAAAUUAGCACAUGGAUGUGAUAAGGCAAGAGCGAGCCAUAUGUUGUUUCAACUCAGAGGAAGCUGAUGAGCUGGUUAUGCAUGAUUUGUCUCUGUGGAGAUCUAUAACAUGGAAUACUGGGAAAGUAACCAUUAUGCCUAGGUAAAGUUUGUUUGGAACUUCUUCAUAAGUGCAAGAUUACAAAGAGAUUGCAGACAACAAGUCUCGUUGUCAAACUUUACAUAUGUAAUAUAUAUACAUUAUUUAAACAACCAUGCCCAGAGCUGUUUAUUUUAUAUAAAUACAGCAUCAUCUUCUAGGCAAGCUGGAGUAGAUCAUCCUCCUUGACGCACAGCUGGUGCCCCUGACGGUUGUAGAGCUUGCAACCUUCCUUGAGUGGCUUCCUGCAAGUGUGGCAAGAGUUGAAGUCGAGCGCAACACUUUUUGGACCUGGGCAGACAUAGGAAGCAGAGCCACAUUUGAACGUGCAAGUUUUAUCAGGUCCUGAGACGCAUAUCGAUUUGCCAUGCCCCAAGUCCAAGCAACCUUGAGGAAUGCUGCAACAAGUAGCGCAGCUGCCUGGCGUCCAAGGAUGGACAGUGCCUCCACAAAUCUCCACGGCAUCCUUCAAGCAGGAGUUGUCAUCACCAUUUGGCAGUGGUGCACCAGUCUUUAAAUUGUAGAGAUGACAGCCAUUCGAAGGCUCCUUACCCGGUGGGAGCACAGAAAUUGGAAUUUGGUUAGUCCAUCGGGAUGGGCAGACUUUGAUUUUUGGUGGAAGACAAAUUGGGUGGCAAGGACGAAAAGGGGCGGUGCCACCAAGACAAACUGGACUGCCAGUUCCAGGCUCGAGAUAUAUGCAUCCAGCCUCAAGCGUACAGCAAUUGGAGCAUGCGUCCAGAGUGACAACAGCAUCACUACAAACCUGGAGACGAUGGCCGCUGGCUGCAAAAUCAUCUUGACAAGGCAUUCAAGAAGUCAGUCCUGAAAGAAAGAAUCAAAACUUGGAGAUCAACCUGCAGAUAUCAGAAGUAGCUGAAAGCUUAGGAUAGUGAGGAACAAGAAUGAAGCUGCCAUGUUGUUGUGGUGCUGAACCUCGGGCUGUUUGAAUUUAUAGUCACACAGUGGCAUGCGAUCGAUCUCUACAAAAAUCUCACGUUUUUUCCGGACUUGAAAGUUGCGUAUGGAUUGUACUGAUCGGGGGCCACCUAGCCUGGCUCUCUGUGGUGAAACAAAUCAUAUACUUCCAGAGAGGUGUCCCAUCAGUAGUUUGAUCGGUGAGGUCCGAUGUGGCGCCCUUAUUAGGGCGACGUGGCCGGAAAUACAAAGGAUUGCAUGCCACGUCAUAAUAGACGAGGUUAGCGAAGCGGCCAUGGCGGGGCUGCUCGGCCAUGGCGGUUCUUUCAACGUGGCCAGGCUGGGAGCACUAGGGUAGCAGCUCACAGCGCUGUCACAGCAAUGUGCUAUCCGAUCGAUCGAUCUGGGUCUCGGGUUUAGUUUCUAGAGGUUUCCGGCUUCUCCACAGCUAGUGGUUUCGUCCUCCGGCCUAUGGCACCGCUAGAAAAUCCUCCAAACCUUGAAGAACAGAUCGAGAUUUAGGAGCAGCGAGAGAUUGCACGAAAGAUCUUGCGUUGGGAGCUCGACCGCAAUUCUGCCUAGCUGCUCUAUCGAAGAUUUGCAAGUCGAGCGUUCAAACAGAGUGCUCAAGAGAUUGAGCUCCGUCCAUAAAUUCAAUCCUUUCUGGGCUCCGACCAAUGUGAUGCCGCGAUUCAAAUUUCUGGCGCUUGGUGCCUCAACAUGGGUAAUACCAUACGUAUUGAAAUAUCACAUAUUGAAUGAUUUUGGAACAGCUCAUGCACAACAAGGGAACUCUUUUGAUUAUAUAUACAUAUUUGUGCAGUUGGAGGCAUUUAUACAAUAUACAAAUUGAUUUCCUUGGAUUUCUUGUCUUUGGUCUAGUAAAAUUCAACAUUGGCAAAAGAGAACUCCAAGAUUAAAAUCAGGACACCAUUUGCAUCCAUUGCAUUGUGGUUUAAUGCAUCUAGUUGUUGGGUGGUACAUGUAUACUUAUUCUUUCAAAGCUAGAAAAAAAAUUUCAUUUGCUACAUGCAAUCUAAACCCUAAACCCUAAACCUUAAAUAGACACGUGAAAAAAGGGUGGCAACCCUUCAAUUUUGAUUUUAAUGAUGCUCCAAUAAGCCAUUUAUCUCUAUGGGGAGAUUUAUGUGCGAGGGGAACUUGUUUAGAGACUGGCUGUGGGAGAAGCAAGUUGCUAUAGAGCUCACCAUGGAUGCUUAGAAUUAAUAUGUAAUUAGUGCAUUAAUGGAAGGGUAAAAAGGACAAAGAUUCGUUGGAUCUAACCUUUUGCUUUGCUUUAUUUUUUCUUCAAGUUCAGGUAUUUAGAAAUUUUCUUAGGCUGCAAAUUAGCACGCCAUAUGUUGUUUCAACUCAGAGGAAGCUGAUGAGCUGAACACCAAUGCAUUGUGAUGUAUGAUUUGGCUCUGCGGAGAUCUAUAACAUAGAAUAUUGGGAAAGUAAACAUUAUGCCUAGGUAAAGUUUGUUUGGAACUUCUUUGUAAGUGCAAGAUUACAAGACAACAAGUUGCGUUGUCAAACUUUAUAUAUAUAAUAUAUAUAUAUACAUUUCAAGUACCCGUUAUUUAAACAACGAUGCCCAGAGCUGUUUAUUUUAUAAAUACUGCAUCAUCUUCUAGGCAAGCUGGAGUAGAUCAUCCUCCUUGACGCACAGCUGGUGCCCCCGACGGUUGUAGAGCUUGCAACCUUCCCUGAGUGGCUUCUUGCAAGUGUGGCAAGAGUUGAAGUCGAGCGCAACACUUUUUGGACCUGGGCAGACAUAGGAAGCAAACCCACAUUCGAGCGUGCAGGCUUUACCAGGUCCUGAGACGCAUACUGAUUUGCCAUGCCCCAAGUCCAUGCAACCUUGAGGAAUGGUGCAACAAGUAGCGCAGCUGCCUGGCUUCCAAGGAUGGACAGUGCCUCCACAAAUCUCCACGGCAUCCUUCAAGCAGGAGUUGUCAUCACCAUUUGGCAGUGGUGCACCAGUCUUUAAAUUGUAGAGAUGACAGCCAUUCGAAGGCUCCUUAUCCGGUGGGAGCACAGAAAUUGGAAUUCGGUUAGUUCCUCGGGAUGGGCAGACUUUGAUUUUUGGUGGAUGACAAAUUAAGGGGCAAGGACGAAAAGGGGAGGUGCCACCAAGACAAACUGGACUGCCAGUUCCAGGCUCGAGAUAUAUGCAUCCAGCCUCAAGCGCACAGCAACUGGAGCAUCCGUCGAGAGUGACAACAG